CCUUAUAGGCAGAGGCGAGACCACGGCUGUGCACGGCUUCCUUGCUGGUCUCUACGCCCAACUGGAGUCCCGUCCCUGCUGCCCCAAGUAUUAAGGUGGUUCCAGGGGGGCUUGUAAGCUGUUGGGGGAGGAUGUGGGUAGGGGUUAGUUCUCUAGAAAAUCCAUUCUAAGGGGUUGAGUAGUCACUGAUAGUGAUAUUAUGGCAAUUCUUAAGAAUACUCUUCAGAGAGGGCAGUUUUCUGAAGAUAGAGAAUUACAGGGCUCAACGGAAACCGUAUAGAACUGGUCCUUUCCACCGCACCUCAAAUCAGUUCACACUGGAGGAGUUCUUUCUUGUAAACUGUCCUUGGAGGACCUGGUAGCUGUUUCUUUACUUCAUCUGUGCUCCCACCUCCUCAUCAUAUGUGCGCGCGUACACACACACACACACACACACACACACACACACACUCACACACACACCCAUUAAGUAACCUGGACUGGGAUUAUCUAAUUUCCUUCUGGUUCUAAGAACCGCUUUUCUGUUUCUCAAAAGUGAUCUGUAGUGGCUCUGUAUGUGGUCUCUGUGAAGCUUCUGCACACCCCCUUCCUGCCAUGAAGUGGUAGCUAUUAGUGUCUUUCUGCAGUUUGGUGGUUUCAGAAGAGUUUCUGAGUACAAUAGGGAGAAUGGGGUGGGGUGAGCAGAAAAGAAUGUGUAUGUAGUUAAAAACUGGAGAGUAUUUUAGCAGUAUUCUUGAAGCUCUUUUGUUGUUUUUGGCAUUGCUUCCUGUUAAUUGUAGUUUGGUGUGUAGUGGGAAAUCUCAAGUUUUGCCAGCAGGCAGCUCACUGUGCUGUGUCCUUUCAUUUACACUUGAUUCUUGUGGGUUCAUGAAGGGCAGGCCAGGCCUGGGCAGCUGGGGGGAAAGCCAUGAGGUCUGAGGUUACGGUGAUGCCCUGAGAGUGAGAGAGGGCCAAUGGGGGCAGGUGUAGUGGUUCUGGGUUUUGGUCCUAAGAAGGGUCCUUCAAGGAGACCAACAAGUGAUGGUUCUCGGCCACAGCCUGAGACCACAGGGAAGCUUGACAAAGGGAGGAAGAUGGAGGGGAAAGAAAGGUUUGAUUAAUAGCUUAAAAGGUUCUUAAGACCCUGUCUCCUUUCAUUUUUUUUCUGCUUUUAUCUCUAGUCCUACCAAACCCAUAAUGUGUUUAGUGGACACACAAUAAACCACACAAUGGAAAAUUUUAAAAAGAAACCAGUGUCACCCACAACUCUACAGGUCCUAACAUAUCAACUGUCGGUCCCCCUCACCCCCCCCCCCCACUUCCUCCUGGUCUCUGUCCUAGGUAUGCAUUUAUUACCUAGUAGUAGUGGCCAUCUAGAGAUACUGAAUAAAGAUGGCAAAUCAUAUCAAGCAGUUUUCAUGCUGCCACGUGAUGUCAUGAUUAUGAUCUCUAAUGGCUCCAUAGAAUUCUGCUGGGUUGUUGUGUCCUCAUUAAUCAUUUUUCUGUUUUGAAAUAUUUACUUUGUCUUCAGCCCCCCUUUUAAAAAAUUGCUAUUAAAAAUAAUGUCUCAGUGAAUAUUUUUAUAUAGACAGUUUUUCCUUUGAUUUAUUCCCCCCAAGGUUAAAUGUCCAGGAGUAUUACUGGGUGAAAGACUGACAGUUUUGAUAGCUUUUGAUUCUUAUUGCCAAAUUGGUAUUUUAAAAAGAAGUUGCAGGUGAGCCUGGGUGGCUCAGUCGGUGGAGCAUCUGACUCUUGAUUUCCACUCAGGUAAGUGAUCUCACAGUUUGUGGGUUCAAGCCCUGUGUCGGGCUGUAUGCAUACAGCAUGGAGCCUGUUUGGGAUGAUCUCUUUCCCUCUCUCUCUGACUCUCCACCUCUCGUUCUCUCUCUCAAAAUGAAUAAACUUUAAAAAAAAGUUGUGAUUAACUUACAAGGAAUGUACGAGUUCAUCAGUUUUACUAUAACCUUAUCACUGUCGUAUAUUUUCAUUUAAAAAAUUAAGUAUAGAAGAGUGAUGUGAAGGUUCUCUUCAUUUUUUACCCGUUGGCUUAAUGCUAAGAAUAUGAUUUGCUUUGCUUAGGAACAAAGUGGCUUGUUUUUGCACUUUUUCUUUCUUCUUUUUUCUAUUUGCUUAUUUGUGUGUAAAAUGAUGCGCUUUUAUCUUGUUCGUGUUUUCUCUCCCUUGAUAUUCCCUCUGCCUUCUCAAUAAUUUCUCCUCUCCCCUAAUUAUCUUUAGCAUUUGGCCUUGCAGACAGCUGUCUUCCAAACCUGCUGAGGAGCUCUCCCACUGCUCUACAUGUAUCUACACGCUGGCAGGAAGGGUUACAAUAGCACAGGUUCCAACCAUAGAUCUCUUCACGACCUGACCUUGUCCUCACAGACAAGAUCUGUCUGGGAAGUUGAAGGUACACUGCUGGGAUGGGCUUUGGGCUCAGGAGGAGAUGGUACUAAAUUUGGUUCCGCCAGCUCCCCAGCCCCCACCCCAAUCACUCAGCAUGGGAGACCCUAAUCAGAAUCUCCCAGCUCACAGGACACCUGGCUCUGAUCUGUCUCACGUUUCCUCAUUUCUGCUUGCACAAUACCCCUCACUAUAAGCCGCUGCCUUUGACCUACUUCUUCUACCCCAAGUCCCAGCUUAAUUAUAUUGCGAUGGACCUGCUUGCAGCGGCUCAACCCCCACCACCCCCAUCCUGCUCCUCCCUCCCUGGUCCCAGCUAUAUGACUGUUCUUGCCAUGCUUAUUCAGCUACAGGACUUGGCUCUGAGUACCUAUGACCUGAAUCACAAGUUACCUUUUGAAUGCAUGCUUGCUGCCGGAAUUUCCAUGAGGCCCAAGGGACCCCUAUUUACUCUGACCACACUUGCUUCCAUUCUCCUUGGUAGAUGACUGCCCUGAUAAGGAGUCAGGAGAGGGAAAGGCAAAGUGAAACUAGAUAAACACUUUCUUCCUGCUCUCUCUGCAAAUAAUUCUCCUGUGGAGUACUUUACAAACGUUUAACAUAUGAAUAUGUAAUUUAACUAGCAUAAACCAGUUACAUUAGAAGUUUAUCACCUGAAAGACAAGUGGCUUCCUUGCUUUAUAAAAUGGUUUCCAAAAGAUUUUAAACAAUUAAUAAGUAUAUUGGAACAAGGUCCUUGCCUUAAAAGCAGUGUUAUCAAGAGUGACCUUCCUAUGAAUGAUUUUACCCCUUCAUAAAACAUGGUUUUCUCUGGGGAAGUGGCCAAUUUGUGAAAGGUUUAAAAUUACCCUUGAUUAAAAAAAGUUUUUUUUUAAUCUUUAUUUAUUUUUGAGACAGAGACAGAGUGUGAGCAGGGGAGGAGCAGAGAGAGAGAGGGAGACACAGAAUCCGAAGCAGGCUCCAGGCCCUGAGCUGUCUGCCCAGAGCCUGACACGGGGCUGCUCACGAACUGAGAGAUCAUGACCUGAGCCAAAGUCGGACGCUCAACUGACUGAGUCACCCAGGCACCCCAAAAUUACCUUUGAUUUUAUGGUGAGAAGAGAAACUAUUAAAACUGUCCAACCACAAGAGCACCUAAGGAUUAAAAUAUAUAAACCACCUACUUGAAUAUAAAGAUAAAAGGUGAACAAGCAUAUCACAGAUGGAGAAAUGGGGAAUUUUUAUCAAA